UGCUGUAGCUCAGUGGUAGAGCACUACAUUGGUAAUGUAGAGGUCGGGAGUUCAAUCCUCCCCAGU
rnacentral:tRNA from 1 species